rnacentral:rRNA from 1 species
CAAGCGGUGGAUGAUGUGGUUUAAUUCGAUGCAACGCGAAAAACCUUACCCACCUUUGACAUGUACGGAAUUUGCCAGAGAUGGCUUAGUGCUCGAAAGAGAGCCGUAACACAGGUGCUGCAUGGCUGUCGUCAGCUCGUGUCGUGAGAUGUUGGGUUAAGUCCCGCAACGAGCGCAACCCUUGUCAUUAGUUGCUACAUUUAGUUGGGCACUCUAAUGAGACUGCCGGUGACAAACCGGAGGAAGGUGGGGAUGACGUCAAGUCCUCAUGGCCCUUAUAGGUGGGGCUACACACGUCAUACAAUGGCUGGUACAAAGGGUUGCCAACCCGCGAGGGGGAGCUAAUCCCAUAAAACCAGUCGUAGUCCGGAUCGCAGUCUGCAACUCGACUGCGUGAAGUCGGAAUCGCUAGUAAUCGUGGAUCAGAAUGUCACGGUGAAUACGUUCCCGGGUCUUGUACACACC